CCCACCCCCCGUCUGUCGAAAAAAAAACACGCGACCCGAUCCAGAUCCCCAACCUCCUCUUCUCUCCCAACCCACUCGCCGCCGGCCUCCCUUCCACCUCCUCUCCUCCGUCCGUCCGCCCCCAUGCCCCCCGCCGCCUGCGCCACGCCGGCGGCCGCGCGCCCGCCGCUCCCCGUCUCGCGCCGCUGCCCCCUGCAGCCGAGGGACGGCAACGCGGCGGCCUCCCUGUCCUUGGGCGGCGCCGUCCUUGCCAAAUCGAAGGCGAAGGCACCGGCGGCUGCCGCGUCGCCGCCGUCGGUGAGGUCGUAUGCUGCCAGGGUUGACGCGGAGAGCAGGGCGGCGGCGGUGGCGAUUGAGAAGAAGGUGUCGCUGGCAGAGGAGCUGGAGAAGGUGCGGGAGCGGCGGGGACGGGUGAUGGCGGAGCUGAUACGCCUCAUCGAGAUGCAGUAGGUCUCAAUUAUCUGUAUUCGGUGGUGAAACACUGAAACUAGAGAUACAGUGGAGUGACUUUCCUGUAGAGGGAAUUAGGGAGGUUUAUUCUGAUGAGAUUAUUUCCCAUGAUAUAUAGACACGAUGCAAAACCAAGGUAUGCUCAUGCACAUAAUUCAUACCCUAGUAAGUACAGAUAUGUAGCAAUAGUGAGGGAGUGGUGCAUGUCUUAAUUCAUUAAGCCACUGUGAAAUUACUGUUAAUUAAGAUAGUACAGCAGGCACUAGUAAUAGUGCUGCUGUUGCUGAUAUUGCCAUUGCCACAUUUCACUGCACUCGUAUACGCGCACUUUGAUUAUCUGUGCCACUUUUUUUGCCUGUCUAACGAGCACAUAUUUUAGUAAAAACUGGAGGAGCGCAGAGUUCUCGUGAUGUGCAUUAUGCCCCUUCUCAUGAUGUGCGCUACCCUCAGGGCCAGCGCAUAAUGCGAUGAGCGCCAAUGAACAGACAAACGGUAAACUGUUGGCUGCUGCCGAAGGAGCAAGCAAUGUUCAGUUCUGACAAGUGAUAAAGUGGUAUUCCGACGAGUGUUCUCACUUGUCUGAUGAUGUGCAGAUUUUGAUUGCCUUGUGAACUUGAUUAAGAUUAUCAGAUGUUAAGUCAUUCAACCAUGUGUUUGCGUGCCAUGUAAAUUUCCAUUGCCAUGGGGUUAACCUGUUUGUACAAAUUAAAGUAACUUGAUUAAGGUGUUAAAUCUGUCAAGCGGUCAGUCACAGUACUGUGCAGUCAGCCAUGUCCUGAUUUAGAGAAGUAACAUUUUUUUUGAAAUAGUAGAACAUGCAGUCCUUUUACAAAUGAAAGAGAGGCAAAGAAAGUGUUGAACAAGAACAACUAUCAGCACAACAUGUUGUGAGUUGCACAUCCUUUUUUGCAUUCAUUUUAAAAAAUGACCCCUUCUUAGUUGCUUGUCACGCUCGGCCACUGGUUGCAGGUCUAUGUUCUGGUGGAAUCGUUGAUUUCUAAGGAGGAGAGGAAGAGAAUACAGGGGACUGCGUCUUCAGAUUCUCAGUAAUGGAUAAUUACAAGAACAUUCCUCAAUUCCUCUAUGGCUUAAGCCCAUCUCAGAUGGAAAUGUUUAAAACUGACGACAACCCUUAUAAUCGGCAGUCAAAGAAAGUUACAGAGAAAUCUUGGAUUCAUAAAUGGGAGAAGCACAUAAGUGAGAAGAUGAUGAUUGCAAGGAUGGAGAGGGAGCAAAUCAUUUGGAGGGAUAGAAUACCACUGUUUGGUGUUUUUAUGCAUUUUUGUUUGCUUUCAACUGUGUUUGCACUAGCUGGGAAUAAGUGACUAGGCAAUAAGUGUAGAUGUAUGUAUAUGCUCUAAUGCUCCUGGUUUACUAUAAAUCUUCGAUUUGGAAUGAUGUGUAAUGCUGCUAGUUUAUUAUAAAUCUGGGCUUGUUUUAGUUGUUAGAAUUGUAUGCA